UUGCUACUCCCUCCGUUCCAAAUUACUCGUCGUAGAAAUGGAUGUAUCUAGAUGUAUUUUAGUUCUAGAUACAUCCAUUUCUACGACGAGUAAUUUAGAACGGAGGGAGUAGUAU
rnacentral:pre_miRNA from 1 species